AUCCAUCUGACGAGUCCCAAAUAGGUCGAAAUUCAGGUCUAUGGAU
rfam:Schistosoma haematobium scaffold9_52, whole genome shotgun sequence.